GACGAACGCUGGCGGCGUGCCUAAUACAUGCAAGUCGAGCGGACGGAUGGGAGCUUGCUCCCAGCCCGUCAGCGGCGGACGGGUGAGUAACACGUGGGCAACCUGCCUGUAAGACUGGGAUAACUCCGGGAAACCGGGGCUAAUACCGGAUAACUCUUUCCCUCCCAUGAGGGAAAGCUGAAAGAUGGCAUCUCGCUAUCACUUACAGAUGGGCCCGCGGCGCAUUAGCUAGUUGGUGAGGUAACGGCUCACCAAGGCGACGAUGCGUAGCCGACCUGAGAGGGUGAUCGGCCACACUGGGACUGAGACACGGCCCAGACUCCUACGGGAGGCAGCAGUAGGGAAUCUUCCGCAAUGGACGAAAGUCUGACGGAGCAACGCCGCGUGAGUGAUGAAGGUGUUCGGAUCGUAAAACUCUGUUGUUAGGGAAGAACAAGUACCGGAGUAACUGCCGGUACCUUGACGGUACCUGACCAGAAAGCCACGGCUAACUACGUG
rnacentral:rRNA from 1 species